GAAGAAGGGAACGAAGACCAGAAGCUGCAACGACCUGCUUCUCGUCUUAACGAGAGGAUUCUCUCAUCCUUGUCAAGACGUUCUGUAGCUGCACAUCCAUGUCAUGAUCUUGAGAUUGGACCUGGAGCUCCACAGAUUUUCAACGUGGUUGUAGAGAUCACAAAAGGAAGCAAGGUCAAAUAUGAACUUGACAAAAAGAUAGGACUCGU